rnacentral:rRNA from 1 species
CUACCUGAAGGCUUUGAGGAGGUGACACGUGGUAGGGGAAUGGUGGUGAGUUGGGCCCCUCAACAAGAAGUUCUUGGGCACCAAGCAGUUGGUGGCUUUUGGACCCAUAACGGCUGGAACUCGACGUUGGAAAGCAUAUGUGAGGGUGUUCCGAUGAUAUGUAGACCCCAUUUUGCCGAUCAGAUGAUAAAUGCCAGGUAUGUCCAGGAGGUCUGGAAGGUAGGAUUUGAGUUAGAGGGAAAGUUGGAGAGGGGGAAGAUUGAGAGGAGUGUUAGAAAGUUGUUUUGCCACGAAGAAGGUGGAGAGAUGAGGUGGAGGGCGAAAGAUCUCGAGGACAAAGCAACCGAGUGUAUGAAGAAAGGAGGCUCUUCAGAAACUAGAAUCAAUUUGUUGGUGAAUUUUAUGAUGUCAUUACCUUGUUCCAUUUAG